rnacentral:rRNA from 1 species
AUUGAACGCUGGCGGAAUGCUUUACACAUGCAAGUCGAACGGCAGCACGGACUUCGGUCUGGUGACGAGUGGCGAACGGGUGAGUAAUGUAUCGGAACGUGCCCAGUCGUGGGGGAUAACGUAGUGAAAAUUACGCUAAUACCGCAUACGAUCUAUGGAUGAAAGCGGGGGAUCGCAUGACCUCGCGCGAUUGGAGCGGCCGAUAUCAGAUUAGGUAGUUGGUGGGGUAAAGGCCCACCAAGCCAACGAUCUGUAGCUGGUCUGAGAGGACGACCAGGCACACUGGAGCUGAGACACGGUCCAGACUCCUACGGGAGGCAGCAGUGGGGAAUUUUGGACAAUGGGCGAAAGCCUGAUCCAGCCAUUCCGCGUGCAGGAUGAAGGCCCUCGGGUUGUAAACUGCUUUUGUACAGAACGAAAAGGUUUCUACUAAUACUAGGAGCUCAUGACGGUACUGUAAGAAUAAGCACCGGCUAACUACGUGCCAGCCGCCGCGGUAA